GAGGGUGAUCGGCCACAUUGGAACUGAGACACGGUCCAAACUCCUACGGGAGGCAGCAGUGGGGAAUAUUGCACAAUGGGCGAAAGCCUGAUGCAGCAACGCCGCGUGAGGGAUGAAGGCCUUCAGGUAGUAAAACUCUGUCCUCAAGGAAGAUAAUGACGGUACUUGAGGAGGAAGCCCCGGCUAACUACGUGCCAGCAGCCGCGGUAAUACGUAGGGGGCUAGCGUUAUCCGGAUU
rnacentral:rRNA from 1 species